AGUACGUGAAACCGUUUAGGGGGAAACCUGAGAAACCCGAAAGAUCGAAAGAGGAGAUUCAUCGUUUGCGUGAGUGGCUUGCAGUGCUGCGCGAUGUGRCGAUUUAUCGUUUUCACGCGUUUGCUGCAUGACCGUUCACGACGGCGUGCACUUCUCCUCUAGUAGAACGUCGCGACCCGUUGGGUGUCGGUUUAAGGGCUGAGUCGUUGUCUGRUCCGUCACUUCGGUGCACGGAACAAGCGCUUGGAUUCUAACCGACUGCUCGACGGUAGUUGUACGGUAUUGAGCCGCACUCGAAUGCGUUUAGACUCGUCGCAAGCUGGGCCAUUUUUGUCCUGGAGUACGAAAYUUUCGUACCCGGGGAUGGUUAGUUGUUGGCGGCGAUGUUCUCAAACUGGCUAAAUUGAACUAACGAUACCUGUCGGCGACGCUAUUGCUUUGGGUACUUUCAGGACCCGUCUUGAAACACGGACCAAGGAGUCUAACAUGUGCGCGAGUCAUUGGGAAAUGAAAACCUAAAGGCGUAUUGAAAGAGAAGGUCGGCCUUGCGUCGACUGAGGGACGAUGGGCGACGUUUCGAUGUCGCUCCGCACUCCCAGGGUGUCUCGUAGUCAUUGCGACUUGAGGCGCACCUAGAGCGUACACGUUGGGACCCGAAAGAUGGUGAACUAUGCCUGGUCAGGAUGAAGUCAGGGGAAACCCUGAUGGAGGUCCGUAGCGCAUCUGACGUGCAAAUCGAUCGUCUGAACUGGGUAUAGGGGCGAAAGACUAAUCGAACCAUCUAGUACUGG
rnacentral:rRNA from 1 species